UACUAAGGCGCUUGAGAGAACUCGGGUGAAGGAACUCGGCAAAAUUGUACCGUAACUUCGGGAGAAGGUACGCUGCUGUUUGUGAUGGGAUUUACUCCCUAAGCAGAUGGCAGCCGCAGUGACCAGGUGGCUGGGACUGUUUAUUAAAAACACAGCACUGUGCUAAAUCGAAAGAUGACGUAUACGGUGUGACACCUGCCCGGUGCCGGAAGGUUAAUUGAUGGGGUUAGCGUAAGCGAAGCUCUUGAUCGAAGCCCCGGUAAACGGCGGCCGUAACAAUAACGGUCCUAAGG
rnacentral:rRNA from 1 species